AAAUGGUGAAGCAAAACACUGGUGGUGACUUAAAAAGGAAGUUCUGCUUACCCCUAUCACCUAGGAAGUCUUCAUGGAUGCAUUCUUUAAUAACUUCUUCCCUGCUUAUGUCUGGAAAAAGGAGGAGAAAUUUCAGGACCUCUGCCAAGUGAGUUUGACGGUUGCCCAGUAUGUAGCCUGUUUUGUUCAACUGUCUAGGUUUACCCCUCUAAUGGUCACCCUCAAAAGCUAAAAAGGUAGGAAGUUUCUCAAGGGCCUUUGUACCGACAUCUAUGAUCGGGUCAUGAUGCUGAGAUCUAGCUUGUUGGCGUUGGUGCUCAAACAUGCCCAAUUGGUGAAGACCUUAUCUCAGACAAGCACCAAUGCAUUGCCCGAGUCUGUACGCAACAAUAGCCU
rnacentral:lncRNA from 1 species